rnacentral:misc_RNA from 1 species
GUGAAUCAUCAAAUUUUUGAACGCAAAUUGCGAUUCCUGGGAGGAAGGGAAGGAGGCCGGUUUGAGGGGCAGUAUUAACAAAAAAUCGGUUUGGGGGAAAAGUGUGAAGGGUCCGGAGUUUGGGCUAUCUUAACUUUUUUGGUUAAGGGGCUUAAAAUUGACCUUAUUUGCGCAUUUUUAGACGUACAUAAAUUUUUGUUUUAUUCGUCUAGGGUGAAUCGCAAAAUCUUAGGAC